AAAUCUUAAUUCCUUAAAAGGCAACUUCUUUUUUCUUUUAUUUUUAUUUUUAAUUUAAUUUAAUACUCUCUGCAAUUUCAUUUCCACCUUCAAUCAAAACCCCCCUCUGCUUUCGCUCUCUUAUCUCUCUCUCUCUCUCCUCCAUUACCUUCCUUCACUCUUAGGACUAUCGCUUUCAAUCUCUCUCUCUCUCUCUCUCUCUCUCUCUCUCUCUCUCUCUCUCUUCGAUUUGGAUUUUGGGUUUUUUUUUCUUCUCAAUUUUCGUUUUUGCUUUUAUGGUGCUGGGUGGGUCACUGUAAUUGGCGGGAAGCAACCGCGAAUUCCGGUAGCUCUGUGUGGAAAGUUUGAAGCUUUGGGGUGUUUGAAGAAAAAGGGUUAUUUUCGUCAUCGAUGGCGAACCCAUCUGGGAACCAUCAAGAGCACGCUCACGUGUCGUCUUCGGCUCCCGAAACUUCAGGUGCUGCUCUCGCCAUGAAGCACAACCCUGGCAUAUCCCUCGAUUGGACCCCUGAAGAGCAAGCCAUUCUUGAAGAUGGACUCACCAAGUAUGCCUCAGAGUCCAACAUAGUACGCUAUGCAAAGAUAGCCCUACAGCUACAACAUAAAACUGUCCGUGAUGUAGCACUGCGAGUCAGGUGGAUGAAUAAGAAAGAAAAUAGCAAGAGAAGGAAGGAUGAUCAUAAUUUAUCUCGGAAAAGUAAAGAUAAAAAGGAAAGGGUUUCUGAUCCCACAGUGAAGUCAUCUAAUUUUGCUGCUCGGUCCAGUGUCUCCCCAUAUGCUCCACCAAUGAUUACAAUGGAUAAUGAUGAUGGCAUUUCUUAUACAGCAAUUGGAGGUCCCACUGGUGAGCUAUUAGAGCAAAAUGCACAGGCCUUGAAUCAAAUUUCCACAAAUCUUUCUGCUUUCCAGGAGGCAAUGAAACAUUGAAACUGCAGAACUGAUUACAGCUGGGAUAAUUCAUAAUGUCUCUGCUUGAUGUUAUGACAGCAACUUUCUAGUUAAUCAGUAUCAUUUUCAUUCUUAGCCCAUUCUCUCUGGCUGUAAAUUUGACCUUAAUUGUUUUGUUCUCUGUUUUUCUGUUUCCAGGUACAGGAGAACAUCAAUCUUUUCUGCCAAACUAGGGACAACAUCCUUAAAAUUAUGAAUGAUUUGAAUGACUUGCCAGAAGUGAUGAAGCAAAUGCCACCUCUUCCAGUGAAGGUGAAUGAAGAGCUAGCCAAUUCCAUACUUCCAAGAACAACUCUCCCACCACAAUCAUGAUAAACAUUCAUAGUUAACUGGGCUUGCCUCUCCCAUAUAUCUGCCUGCACUGGGACUCAAAAUCAUUCCUCUUCUGAUUAGCAGAAUAACUGCCAAUCAAGUUGACCCAAGAUUUACUAUUGGAAAAAAGAAGAAGAAAGAAUGAAUAAUUGUUGAUAGUCAUCAAGUUGAAUUAGUCUUCAAUAAUUUUAUUUUAUUUAUCUUCUAAAGUUGGUUUUCUGCCCUUGUUCUCUUGUUGGCUCUAACUUAGUUGUACUAUAGGAAUUAUUUAGUAUUCUUGGUAUUAAUUGAGUUAAAUUUAGGCAUUUAGAGCAAUAAGUUGUAGCAUAAUUUAUUUGUCGUCUGUUAUUGUUGUUGGUACAUUUUAUUAUGCAUAUUGUAUUAAAUGUUAGAUACCUGUACAAUGUUUGUAAGUGGGUUACACUGGGAUGCUGCUAUGCAUUCUUCCCUCCCGGUGUAAAACGUCAUUUUCAAUUAUGUGUAAAACACCUUCGAUUU